AUUUUUCAUAGUCUUCAAAUUUAAGUUUCUCUAGUUGGCAUGGCAAAACAGUUAAAUCGUAAAAACUCUGUGGUAUCUAUUGACAGUAGAAAGAUAUUUCUUCGAUUGUGGUUUUCCCCAUUGAGUAAGGAGUAUAUACAGUAAUUUUUCCUGUUAUUUAUUGGACAAAUGGUGUGGAUGAUAGUGUGACUACAACGUCAAUAACAGUUGCUGGAAAAGAAGGGAGCCAUACAGCAAGCACCUGGUGUGGAUGUCAAUGUUGCUACAACUUCACUGAUACAGCAGUUGAUGGUCAAGAAAACUACGAGCAAGUCUACAGCAAGUCUACACCACACAUUAUCUUAAUAUAUUUAAGGUGAUUCCUUUCCUUUGUCCUCAUCUGCAUGUUUAUAUUGUACGUUAUGCUAUAUUUUAGCUUAAAAUUUUGAAAAAUGUCAAACUUACAAAAGCGUAAGUUGAAAAAUUUGGUCGGACCAAGACAGAGAGCACGCUGGGUCAGGGAAUUUUUAGAUACAAAUUUUACUUUAA